rnacentral:rRNA from 1 species
CCUACGGGUGGCAGCAGUGAGGAAUAUUGGUCAAUGGGCGAGAGCCUGAACCAGCCAAGUCGCGUGAGGGAGUACUGCCCUAUGGGUUGUAAACCUCUUUUGUCGGGGAGCAAAAGCCGGACGUGUCCGGCUGUGAGAGUACCCGAAGAAAAAGCAUCGGCUAACUCCGUGCCAGCAGCCGCGGUACUACGGAGGAUGCGAGCGUUAUCCGGAUUUAUUGGGUUUAAAGGGUGCGCAGGCGGAUUUUUAAGUCAGCGGUAAAAUCGUGGGGCUCAACCCCAUCCAGCCGUUGAAACUGGGGAUCUAGAGUGUGCGAGAGGUAUGCGGAAUGCGUGGUGUAGCGGUGAAAUGCAUAGAUAUCACGCAGAACCCCGAUUGCGAAGGCAGCAUACCGGUGCACAACUGACGCUCAGGCACGAAAGCGUGGGUAUCGAACAGGAUUAGAUACCCGUGUAGUC